GGUCGCGUAGUGUAGUUGGCCUAACACGUCACCCUGUCACGGUGAAGACCGCCGGUUCGAAUCCGGUCGCGACCG
rnacentral:tRNA from 1 species